UGGCAGGGAGGUUCAUCAUUAAUACAUCCUCCCCCUGCUUCUCCUCCUCUCCGCCUACCAGUGCUCUCUAUUAGUGCCUGCUGUGCCAGAGGCAAUCCAGCCCACUGUCUGCUCAGCAGCAGCUUCGUUGGGUUUCAGGACUGUUGGACCCUAAGAAUAGGUUAGAGUGUAAUUUGCAAGAAAACUAGAGCCAUGCCUACUUACCUGUCCCAGUGCUUAAGAUAGUACCUGGCAUAAUGUGGAUGCUCAUAGCUGUUGAAUGAAGAAGGAAAGAAGAAAAGAAAAGGAAUGAUGGAAAGAAAGAAGCAUCUCCAGUGAUGACAGUACCAUUCCUAUUGACAGUCAGUACGGACAGUUCACUUCCCUGCUGUGCAGAAGAGCAUCUCCUCGUGUCUGAUUACAGCGCCUGGCUCAGUACGAAACAGCAUACCCCGCUUACAGCAGCAGGGUCUUGCUUAUCUCCUGAAGGACUGAUUUGCCUGUCUUCCUGCCAGAAGGGAAGUCAAAACUGCUUCUCUCCAGGGUUGGCAAUUUCCAAGAGAUCAAGCUGAGUGUGGGAUGAUGCAACUUUAAUGGCAGAAAGUGAAGAGGAACUAAAGAGCCUUUUGAUGAAGGUGAAAGAGGAGAGUCAAAAAGCUGGUUUAAAACUCAACAUUCAAAAAAACAAAAAUCAUGGCAUCUGAUCCCAUCACUUCAUGGCAAAUAGAUGGGGAAAAAGUGGGAACAGUGACAGAUUUUAUUUUCUUGGGCUCCAAAAUCACUGGAGACUGUGACUGCAGCCAUGAAAUUAAAAGUUGUGUUGCUUGCUCCUUGGGAGAAAAGCCAUGACAAACCUAGACAGUUUAUUAAAAAGCAGAGACCUCACUUUGCCAACAAAGCUCAAUAUAGUCAAAGCUAUGGUUUUUCCUAUAGUCAUGUAUGGAUGUGAGAGUUGGGCUGUGAAGAAAGCUGAAUGCCAAAGAAUUGAUGCUUUUGAACUGUAGUGUUGGAGAAGACUCUUGAGAGUCCCUUGGACUGCAAGGAGAUGAAACCAGUCAAUUCUAAAGGAGAUCAGUCCUGAAUAUUCACUGGAAGGACAGAUGCUGAAGCUCUAAUACUUUGGCUACCUGAUGUGAAGAACUGACUCAUUGGAAAAGACCCUGAUGCCGGGAAAGAUUGAAGACAGGAGGAGAAGGGGACAACAGAGGAUGAGAUUGUUGGAUGGCAUCACCGACUUGAUGGACAUGAGUUUGAGCAAGCUCCGGGAUUUGGUGAUGGACAUGGAAGCCUGGCGUGCUGCAGUCCAGGGGUCGUAAAGAGUCGGACAUGACUGAGCGACUGAACUGAACUGAUGACUACCUUUAAAGUCCAAGCCAUACGUGAUGCAAGUGUUAUGCUUCAGGGCAUGAUGUAGAGAAUAAUCAUUGGUAUUAUUUCUUAUUGCCUCAAAUAGUUUUUUUCAAUGGAUUUUAUCUUUUCUUAUAAAUUUUACCUACUAGUUAAGAGAAUAGGGUGAUGAAAUAAUAUUUGACAGUCUGUAUUGUCCACCUCUGGGCUUCCCAAGUGGUGCUAGUGGUAAAGAACCCACUUGCCAAUGCGGGAGAUGUAAGAGACAUGAGUUCAAUCCUUGGGUUGGGAAGAUAUCCUGGACAAGGGCAUAGCAACCCACUCCAGUAUUCUUGCCUGAAAAACCCCAUAAAUAGAGGAGGGCUAGUCUGGUGGGUUACAGACCAUGGGGUCACAAAGAGUCAGACAAGACUGAAGCAACUUAGCAUGCAUUGUCCAGCUAUGAGAAUAUCUUCAUUGUUUCCUUCUGUGUUUUCUCUUCAGCAAAAGUAAUUUAAAGAGACUAUCUAUCCAUAUAUCUAAAAGGUAUUGGUUGAAAUGGAAACAUGAAAAAGAGAGCGAAACUGCUAGCCACUCAGUCGUGUCUAUUUGUCACCCCAGGGACCAUAGCCUGUCAUGCUUCUCUGUCCAUGGGAUUCUCCAGGCAAGAAUACUGGAGUGGGUUGCCAUGCCCUUCUCCAGGGGAUCUUUCUGACCCAGGGAUCAAACCCAAGUCUUAAAGUAAUUUAAAGAGAAUAUCUAUUCACUUAUCCAAAAUAUAUUGGUUGAAAUGGAAAUAUACAUAUUAAUAAAGGAGGGACUGAGGGACUCUAAUAUAUGGCCCCUAAUACUUCUAACUGGAGUUUAUCUAAUACUGCAUUCUUUCCCUUUGCCAAUAAUGCACAACCAUCAAAAAUCCUAUGUAUUCUUAAUUUUGGCCACUUCUCUUCAUAUAAAGAAGACAAGAAGGUAGCUCUGCUCAUUGGGAGUAUUUCCCAUCUGUGCUGUCUUUAAGGACUACUCUAUGUGAGACUGUAACACAGAGACCAUCAAUUUUUGGCUCAUACAAUAUACCCAUACGUAAAUCAAGUUCAGAAUUUUUGGCUCAU
ensembl:lncRNA